rnacentral:rRNA from 1 species
AUUAAAGUCUAACCUGCCCAAUGAGGAUUUAAAUGGCCGCAGUAUUUUGACUGUGCAAAGGUAGCAUAAUUAUUAGUUUUUUAAUUGAAAGCUUGUAUGAAGGGUUGGACGAGAUAAAAUCUGUCUCUAUUUAAAUUAAAAUAGAAUUUAACUUUUAAGUCAAAAGGCUUAAAUGAUUAUAAAAGACGAGAAGACCCUAUAGAUCUUUAUUUAGAUUGGAUUUUGAUAAUUUAGGAUUAUUUUAAUUUAAAUUUCAAGCUAAAUUUUAUUGGGGUAAUAUAAAGAUUUAAUAAAUUCUUUUUAUUUAUUACAUUAAUGUAUGAAUUUGUGAUCCAUUAUUAGUGAUUAUAAGAUUAAGUUACCUUAGGGAUAACAGCGUAAUUUUUUUGGAGAGCUCAUAUCGAUAAAAAAGUUUGCGACCUCGAUGUUGGAUUAAAAAUUAGCUUGGGUGCAGAAGCUCAAGAUUUUGGUCUGUUCGACCAUUAAA